UGAAUUUAAAUCAAAUUAAAAUGUGCCAGUUUCAAAAAUCAGCUCAGACCACAACCUCAUAUGAAACCACCGUGGACCACAACACCGUAAAUCACCUCAAGAGGCAGUGGUCACUAGAAAUGCAAAUUGAUGCCAUCAUCAGCUUCGCCUUCUCACGCUCUCCAUGAAUAUCCACUCAAUUUUACCAGAUUCUAGCCCUAAAUCACUAACAGAAUUGGGAUCCUCAAGAACCCUAGUUUCUUAAUCUUAAAUUAAACUCUACUCUCGAAAAGUCAGAGCCCACAGGAUUGGGGCUCUGAUUCCCCUAGCUUUCCUCUACAUUCCCGUAACAAGAAAUUGAAGAAAAGAAGAUUUUUCAGAAACACCUUACCGGAGAUGAUGAAGACAACGAAGGAAUCUCUGCUUCCAGGCUUGUAGGUCUUCACUGGCAUGUUGUUCAAAUGAACUGAUGUGGUGCAAUGCUUUGGUGUGACUUACUACAUGUGUGAUGGAAAUUCGAUGGUUUGGUUGUGCCAUGGUCAUGGUGAGUUCUACUGCAAGUUUUCAUGUUGCAUUGUUUCAUGGCAUGCUAGCAGGACUCAUGGUUGCUGCAAGGUUCUGCAGGUCUGGUGCAAGCAAGAUGCAGGCAUGUUUGGCUCAUGGUUAUGCACACAUGGUAAAUUGUUGGACAAUGGCUUGCAACAUGAUGUCCACCUAACUUGCACUUGAAGUAUCAUUCACCAAUGGCAAAGAUCAAUGAUCAAGAGAUUAGAAAUGGAAUUUAGGAUUUUGGGUUGUAAAAUGGUUGAGUCGACUUUGGUCAAAGUUGACCAAAAAGUCAAUUAUUGACCAAAGUCAACAUUUGGUCAAUAUGUUAUUUUUGUACUCUUUCCCAAUGCUUUGGACAUUCUCAUGAUUUUUAUAGUGAAAUUUGAUGUUUUUUGUGAAUGAAAUGGAUACUUUGAAUGAUCUUGUAUGAACUUGGUAUUGAAUGGAUAAACAUGACUUGAAAUGAA